AUACACAGCUGCGAGCCCACGAGACGUAGGGGAGUCGAGUGAGUGGCGGACGGGUGAGUAAUGUCUGGGAAACUGCCUGAUGGAGGGGGAUAACUACUGGAAACGGUAGCUAAUACCGCAUACCAUCAGAUGUGCCCAGAUGGGAUUAGCUAGUAGGUGGGGUAACGGCUCACCUAGGCGACGAUCCCUAGCUGGGCUGAGAGGAUGACCAGCGACACCGGAACUGAUACACGGUCCAGACUCCUACGUGAGGCAUCAGUGGGGAAUAUUACACAAUGGGCGCAAGCCUGAUGCAGCCAUGCCGUGUGUGUGAAGAAGGCCUUCGUGUUGUAAAGCACUUUCAGCGGGGAGGCGUUACCCGCAGAAGAAGCACCGGUUAACUCCGUGCCAGCAGCCUCGGUAAUUC
rnacentral:rRNA from 1 species